rnacentral:rRNA from 1 species
UGGGGGGAACCCUGAUCCAGCCAUGCCGCGUGUGUGAAGAAGGCCUUUUGGUUGUAAAGCACUUUAAGCGAGGAGGAGGCUACUCUAGUUAAUACUCUAGGAUAGUGGACGUUACUCGCAGAAUAAGCACCGGCUAACUCUGUGCCAGCAGCCGCGGUAAUACAGAGGGUGCAAGCGUUAAUCGGAUUUACUGGGCGUAAAGCGCGCGUAGGUGGCCAAUUAAGUCAAAUGUGAAAUCCCCGAGCUUAACUUGGGAAUUGCAUUCGAUACUGGUUGGCUAGAGUAUGGGAGAGGAUGGUAGAAUUCCAGGUGUAGCGGUGAAAUGCGUAGAGAUCUGGAGGAAUACCGAUGGCGAAGGCAGCCAUCUGGCCUAAUACUGACACUGAGGUGCGAAAGCAUGGGGAGCAAACAGGAUUAGAUACCCUGGUAGUCCAUGCCGUAAACGAUGUCUACUAGCCGUUGGGGCCUUUGAGGCUUUAGUGGCGCAGCUAACGCGAUAAGUAGACCGCCUGGGGAGUACGGUCGCAAGACUG